AUCUAAUGUUGUCUCUUAUAUAAU
rnacentral:siRNA from 1 species